rnacentral:misc_RNA from 1 species
GGGUGCGGGCUGGUGCAGC